rnacentral:rRNA from 1 species
CACUAUCGUUAACUGAAUACAUAGGUUAACGAGGCGAACCGGGGGAACUGAAACAUCUAAGUACCCCGAGGAAAAGAAAUCAACCGAGAUUCCCCCAGUAGCGGCGAGCGAACGGGGAGCAGCCCAGAGUCUGAAUCAGCUUGUGUGUUAGUGGAACGGUCUGGAAAGUCCGACGGUACAGGGUGAUAGUCCCGUACACCAAAAUGCACAGGUUGUGAACUCGAAGAGUAGGGCGGGACACGUGGUAUCCUGUCUGAAUAUGGGGGGACCAUCCUCCAAGGCUAAAUACUCCUGACUGACCGAUAGUGAACCAGUACCGUGAGGGAAAGGCGAAAAGAACCCCGGCGAGGGGAGUGAAAAAGAACCUGAAACCGUGUACGUACAAGCAGUGGGAGCACCUUCGGGUGUGACUGCGUACCUUUUGUAUAAUGGGUCAGCGACUUAUAUUCUGUAGCAAGGUUAACCGUAUAGGGGAGCCGCAGGGAAACCGAGUCUUAACUGGGCGUUAAGUUGCAGGGUAUAGACCCGAAACCCGGUGAUCUAGCCAUGGGCAGGUUGAAGGUUGGGUAACACUAACUGGAGGACCGAACCGACUAAUGUUGAAAAAUUAGCGGAUGACUUGUGGCUGGGGGUGAAAGGCCAAUCAAACCGGGAGAUAGCUGGUUCUCCCCGAAAGCUAUUUAGGUAGCGCCUCGUGAACUCAUCUUCGGGGGUAGAGCACUGUUUCGGCUAGGGGGUCAUCCCGACUUACCAACCCGAUGCAAACUACGAAUACCGAAGAAUGUUAUCACGGGAGACACACGGCGGGUGCUAACGUCCGUCGUGAAGAGGGAAACAACCCAGACCGCCAGCUAAGGUCCCAAAGUCAUGGUUAAGUGGGAAACGAUGUGGGAAGGCACAGACAGCCAGGAUGUUGGCUUAGAAGCAGCCAUCAUUUAAAGAAAGCGUAAUAGCUCACUGGUCGAGUCGGCCUGCGCGGAAGAUGUAACGGGGCUAAACCAUGCACCGAAGCUGCGGCAGCGACACUAUGUGUUGUUGGGUAGGGGAGCGUUCUGUAAGCCUGCGAAGGUGUGCUGUGAGGCAUGCUGGAGGUAUCAGAAGUGCGAAUGCUGACAUAAGUAACGAUAAAGCGGGUGAAAAGCCCGCUCGCCGGAAGACCAAGGGUUCCUGUCCAACGUUAAUCGGGGCAGGGUGAGUCGACCCCUAAGGCGAGGCCGAAAGGCGUAGUCGAUGGGAAACAGGUUAAUAUUCCUGUACUUGGUGUUACUGCGAAGGGGGGACGGAGAAGGCUAUGUUAGCCGGGCGACGGUUGUCCCGGUUUAAGCAUGUAGGCUGAUUGUCCAGGCAAAUCCGGAUAAUCAAGGCUGAGGUGUGAUGACGAGGCACUACGGUGCUGAAGUAACAAAUGCCCUGCUUCCAGGAAAAGCCUCUAAGCAUCAGGUAACAUUAAAUCGUACCCCAAACCGACACAGGUGGUCAGGUAGAGAAUACCAAGGCGCUUGAGAGAACUCGGGUGAAGGAACUAGGCAAAAUGGUGCCGUAACUUCGGGAGAAGGCACGCUGGUGUGUAGGUGAAGUCCCUGCGGAUGGAGCUGAGACCAGUCGAAGAUACCAGCUGGCUGCAACUGUUUAUUAAAAACACAGCACUGUGCAAACACGAAAGUGGACGUAUACGGUGUGACGCCUGCCCGGUGCCGGAAGGUUAAUUGAUGGGGUUAUCCGUAAGGAGAAGCUCUUGAUCGAAGCCCCGGUAAACGGCGGCCGUAACUAUAACGGUCCUAAGGUAGCGAAAUUCCUUGUCGGGUAAGUUCCGACCUGCACGAAUGGCGUAAUGAUGGCCAGGCUGUCUCCACCCGAGACUCAGUGAAAUUGAACUCGCUGUGAAGAUGCAGUGUACCCGCGGCAAGACGGAAAGACCCCGUGAACCUUUACUAUAGCUUGACACUGAACAUUGAGCCUUGAUGUGUAGGAUAGGUGGGAGGCUUUGAAGCGUGGACGCCAGUCUGCGUGGAGCCAACCUUGAAAUACCACCCUUUAAUGUUUGAUGUUCUAACGUUGGCCCCUUACCGGGGUUGCGGACAGUGUCUGGUGGGUAGUUUGACUGGGGCGGUCUCCUCCCAAAGCGUAACGGAGGAGCACGAAGGUUAGCUAAUCCUGGUCGGACAUCAGGAGGUUAGUGCAAUGGCAUAAGCUAGCUUGACUGCGAGCGUGACGGCGCGAGCAGGUGCGAAAGCAGGUCAUAGUGAUCCGGUGGUUCUGAAUGGAAGGGCCAUCGCUCAACGGAUAAAAGGUACUCCGGGGAUAACAGGCUGAUACCGCCCAAGAGUUCAUAUCGACGGCGGUGUUUGGCACCUCGAUGUCGGCUCAUCACAUCCUGGGGCUGAAGUAGGUCCCAAGGGUAUGGCUGUUCGCCAUUUAAAGUGGUACGCGAGCUGGGUUUAGAACGUCGUGAGACAGUUCGGUCCCUAUCUGCCGUGGGCGCUGGAGAAUUGAGGGGGGCUGCUCCUAGUACGAGAGGACCGGAGUGGACGCAUCACUGGUGUUCGGGUUGUCAUGCCAAUGGCACUGCCCGGUAGCUAAAUGCGGAAGAGAUAAGUGCUGAAAGCAUCUAAGCACGAAACUUGCCCUGAGAUGAGUUCUCCCUGAGACUUUAAGUCUCCUGAAGGAACGUUGAAGACGACGACGUUGAUAGGCCGGGUGUGUAAGCGCAGCGAUGCGUUGAGCUAACCGGUACUAAUGAACCGUGAGGCUUAACCUU